rnacentral:lncRNA from 1 species
CCAAUUACAACAAAUUGAACACGUCACGUCAGAAAUUGCUGACGUGGCUAUCUGAGUAGGCCAUACAUAAGCUUAUGUGUAAAUAAAAAAAUAUUUUAAUAUCUAUUUACAUAUUUAUUUUACAUUACGGGCAAAUUGGUCAAAUCACUUUAAUAUCAAAUAUUUUUUUUUGAAAGGCUUUUAUAUCAAACAUUUAAACUAAAUAAAAACAACAAAUUAUCUGAUAAAUCCAAAUCAUUUUCCUUCUUUUCUAAUUGAAUCAACCGUAAAAAUCAUCAUAAAAGAUCCAUAUUAUCAGAUAAAUCAAAAUCAUCAUCAUCAUCAGAUAAAUCCAAAUCAUUCUUCUUAGUCUUCAUCAAUGAUCCAUAUUCUAACUAUAACCCUAACAAAUCAUCAUCGUCUUCCUCUUCACUUUACCCAAGCCAUGAAAGAUCUGGUGGAAUCUUCUCUGAUAACCGUAGCUCCCCCUCUGCCCCGCCCAGCGAUGACAUUAAUGGUCCUCCGAUUAAUAUUAACGGCGAGAUUCCGUCGCUCGGUCGCCAUCGCUGCUCAGUCGCCAUGAAAUCCCAUCAAAAAUGGAGCUCUUAUGGGUUGACACUUACUUCCAAUCGGAGAAGAGCGAGCCCGACGGUCACCACUCACCAGUCCACCAUCGAAACCGCGCCUGGUUUCUUCUUCUCCACUCACUCAUUUUUCUCUCUUUGCUAAAACCCCCACUGUAAAUCUCACCCAAAUUCUUUAUUCCUCUUACUACAAAUCAACCCAAUAUUCAAGCAAGUGAUGGCGAAAAAGUGAUGGCUUGCUGAUUUCUAUGUCGGAUCUGGGUCAUUGUUCAAACCCAAAUCUGAUCCAAGAAUACCCCCUCCUCCGCCAUCUUCAUUCUAAAAACUUGGAUCUGUUUUUCUUAGUAAUGGUUGAUUUUCAUCUCCAAUGGAAAAAAAAAGACGAAAAAGAAAAAGAAAAGAAGAUCAUGAAGAUGUAGAUUUCAUCUUUAAUUUGUUGUGUUUGAUUUUUUUUAUAGGAUCUAUGUUAAUUUAUGGGUUGAUUUUGAGAAAGGAGAAGAGCUUCAAUAUUCUUUGUGAUCGGAGGCUUUUGACGAUAAACAAGAACAGAGUCAGAGUCAGUUGAGUUGGAGGAGAGACAUAAAUCAGUUUGACGAAUUUGCCCUUUAUUAUAUAAUAAAUAUGUAAUUAAAAAUUAAAAUACUUUUUUUAGUUACAACUCAGCUGAUUAAUGGCCCACUCAAAUUACCACGUCAGCAAUUUCUGACGUGGCAGAUUCAAUUUGUUGUAAUUGAAAAAAAUUAAUAGUUCAUUCAUCUAAUACAAAAUUGAAAGGUGGA